rnacentral:rRNA from 1 species
AUGAUAGAGGAAAGCAGAAUUUCUAGUGUAGAGGUGAAAUUCGUAGAUAUUAGAAAGAAUACCAAUUGCGAAGGCAGCUUUCUGGAUCAUCACUGACGCUGAGGAACGAAAGCAUGGGUAGCGAAGAGGAUUAGAUACCCUCGUAGUCCAUGCCGUAAACGAUGUGUGUUAGACGUUGGAAAUUUAUUUUCAGUGUCGCAGCGAAAGCAAUAAACACACCGCCUGGGGAGUACGACCGCAAGGUUAAAACUCAAAUGAAUUGACGGGGACCCGCACAAGUAGUGGAGCAUGUGGUUUAAUUCGAAGAUACGCGCAGAACCUUACCAACACUUGACAUGUUCGUCGCGACUUUAAGAGAUUAAAGUUUUCGGUUCGGCCGGACGAAACACAGGUGCUGCAUGGCUGUCGUCAGCUCGUGUCGUGAGAUGUUGGGUUAAGUCCCGCAACAAGCGCAACCCUCACUUUUAGUUGCCAUCAUUUAGUUGGGCACUCUGAAAGAACUGCCAGUGAUAAGCUGGAGGAAGGUGGGGAUGACGUCAAGUCCUCAUGGCCCUUACGUGUUGGGCUACACACGUGCUACAAUGGCAUUUACAAUAGGAAGCAAGACGGCGACGUUAAGCAAAUCCUAAAAAAAUGCCUCAGUUCGGAUUGUACUCUGCAACUCGAGUACAUGAAGCUGGAAUUACUAGUAAUCGCGGAUCAGCGCGCCGCGGUGAAUACGUUCCCGGGUCUUGUACACACCGCCCGUCACACCAUGGGAGUUGGUUCUACCUUAAGGCAAAGGUUAAAAACUUUGACCACGGUAUAGUCAGAGACUGGGGUGAAGUCGUAACAAGGUAGCCGUA